AAUAUGAUUUGUUAGGCAGAGGCUCCUAUACAAACACAGGCUACUGCCCAGAAACGUCCAGAGACGCCAAUGGGUAUAACAGGAUUAUCCGAAUAGAAGGAAUUUCUAACGUAGCUAACAGUAAUGUUUACGUUGUAUAGUGCUAAAACUCCACGAAAAGAUCAAAUA
rnacentral:sRNA from 2 species